GAAGUGGAAGAGGAGGAGGAUGCAGGGGUGUCUGAUCUUCCAGCUCCCCCACCAGAUGUCAAUCCUCCAAGACAAGCAGCACCCACUGCAGCUUCACGUCCUACUGGUGCUGCAGCAUUCUAUGGUGCUGCAGCAGCCAGAGCUCCUCCAUGUGUGCGUG